GACGAACGCUGGCGGCGUGCUUAACACAUGCAAGUCGAACGGAAAGGCCCUGCUUUUGUGGGGUGCUCGAGUGGCGAACGGGUGAGUAACACGUGAGUAACCUGCCCUUGACUUUGGGAUAACUUCAGGAAACUGGGGCUCAUACCGGAUAGGAGCUCCUGCUGCAUGGUGGGGGUUGGAAAGUUUCGGCGGUUGGGGAUGGACUCGCGGCUUAUGCGCUUGUUGGUGGGGUUGUGGCUUACCAAGGCUUUGAAGGGUAGCCGGCCUGAGAGGGUGACCGGCCACAUUGGGACUGAGAGACGGCGCAGACGCCUACGGGAGGCAGCAGUGGGGAAUAUUGCACAAUGGGGGGAAGCCUGAUGCAGCAACGCCGCGUGCGGGAUGACGUCCUUCGAGUUGUAAACCGCUUUCGACGGUGACGAAGCGUGAGUGACGGUAAUGGGUAAAGAAGCACCGGCUAACUACGUG
rnacentral:rRNA from 1 species